GGAUAUGUAUCGAAGUGGUCAUAACGGGGCUGACUCGAAAUCAGUUAGGGAGCAAUCCCCCGCGAGUUCGAAUCUCGCCGUCUCCGCCA
rnacentral:tRNA from 1 species